UACGUAGGAGGCGAGCGUUGUCCGGAUUUACUGGGCGUAAAGGGCGCGUAGGCGGCCCGCCGAGUCCCGCGUGAAAUCUCCCGGCUCAACCGGGAGGGUGCGCGGGAUACUGGCGGGCUGGAGGGCAUCAGAGGGAAGCGGAAUCCCCGGUGUAGUGGUGAAAUGCGUAGAUAUCGGGGGGAACACCAGUGGCGAAGGCGGCUUCCUGGGGUGCACCUGACGCUGAUGCGCGAAAGCGUGGGGAGCGAACCGGAUUAGAAACCCUCGUAGUCC
rnacentral:rRNA from 1 species